GUACCAAUGGUGUAGUGGUUAUCACAUACAUCUAGCACAUGGAAGGUCCUAGGUUCGAGACUUGUUGGGUACA